rnacentral:rRNA from 1 species
AUUGAACGCUGGCGGCAUGCUUUACACAUGCAAGUCGAACGGUAACAGGUCUUCGGAUGCUGACGAGUGGCGAACGGGUGAGUAAUACAUCGGAACGUGCCUAGUAGUGGGGGAUAACUACUCGAAAGAGUAGCUAAUACCGCAUGAGAUCUACGGAUGAAAGCAGGGGACCUUCGGGCCUUGUGCUACUAGAGCGGCUGAUGGCAGAUUAGGUAGUUGGGGGGGUAAAGGCUUACCAAGCCUGCGAUCUGUAGCUGGUCUGAGAGGACAACCAGCCAGACUGGGACUGAGACACGGCCCAGACUCCUACGGGAGGCAGCAGUGGGGAAUUUUGGACAAUGGGCGAAAGCCUGAUCCAGCCAUUCCGCGUGCAGGAUGAAGGCCCUCGGGUUGUAAACUGCUUUUGUACAGAACGAAAAGGUUUCUACUAAUACUAGGAGCUCAUGACGGCACUGUAAGAAUAAGCACCGGCUAACUACGUGCCAGCCGCCGCCGUAA